AGAACAUGUUGAUCAUUUCAAGCAAAGAUAUGUGAGCAUUUUCUAAAUGGAAUCAAAGAUCAUGUGACGUCAAUCUUCCUUGAUGUCAAACUUCCUUUAGUGCAGUAGAAUGGGGAACAAACAACACUUGUCGAAACUUGUCUAUUAUCACAAUUUCAAGCUGCUGUUUAUUGGGAACUGUCUUCGGCUGUCACUCAAACUCUGUUUUAAAUCUAUUCAUCUAUGUAAAUUCUUUCUAAAAUAAUUCUCAUCUUUAUUUACAUGUGUAUUUGUGUGGUGUUGCACUAUGACAGGACCUUCAGCAGAACUCCAUCUCAGGGUGCUGCUAAAUUAUAGUAUUGGCCAUUGGUCAAUUACCAAAAGCACUAAAUGUAGUGGCAAUUUUAAAGUCAGCAUAACUUGAGUAGACACGUACUGUUUAUUAUUCAAGUGAAGUAGUUGAUGAGUUUUAAAAAAAAAAAAAAAAAACAACUUCUGUUACAACAAAGAUGGAAUGCACAUUUUUAAAGGCAAUAGUUGACCUUUGUCUGAUUAGAGUUAUCAUGUAAUUGAUCCUGCCAUAAUUCCAAACCUCAUGCAAAUAAUUUUCAUGCAAACAAGAGGUGUGAUUAAGACGAAAAAGGGCUUGAGUAGAACAUCUCAACACUCAACAAAAAGAGAUGAUACUUGAGACAAGUAAACCUUCGGUAUGUUUGUUGGGUAUGGAGUUGAGUAUGAAGUUGUUUUACAUCCUCUUUAAGGUUUCAAAUUAAAUGAGUUAUUUGGGUAUUAAAAACAUGCCAUUUCUGUUAGCUAGCAGAAGCAUUCCUGUAUUAUGGACUGAAAUGUGGAGUUUGGAUUUGUGUCGUAUGUUAUGCUUGUGUUUUUUGCAGAUUUCUGGAAGUCUCUUGAAUGACUGAAUAUAAAUCAGUU